AUUGAACGCUGGCGGCAGGCCUAACACAUGCAAGUCGAGCGGAUGAGAGGAGCUUGCUCCUCGAUUCAGCGGCGGACGGGUGAGUCAUGCCUAGGAAUCUGCCCAGUAGUGGGGGACAAAGACUCGAAAGGAACGCUAAUACCGCAUACGUCCUACGGGAGAACGUGGGGGAUCUUCGGACCUCACGCUAUGGGAUGAGCCUAGGUCGGAUUAGACAGUUGGUAGGGUAAAGGCCUACCAAGGCGACGAGCCGUAACUGGUCUGAGAGGAUGAUCAGUCACACUGGAACUGAGACACGGUCCAGACUCCUACGGGAGGCAGCAGUGGGGAAUAUUGGACAAUGGGCGCAAGCCUGGUCCAGCCAUGCCGCGUGUGUGAAGAAGGCCCUCGGGUCGUAAAGCACUUUAAGUUGGGAGGAAGGGCUUACAGCGAAUACCUGUGAGUUUUGACGUUACCGACAGAAUAAGCACCGGCUAACUUCGUGCCAGCCGCCGCCGUAA
rnacentral:rRNA from 1 species